AUGUUAUGAUGUGGGCAUUUCCUUAGUAAUUCCUUAUACCUCUCGCAAGUAUCAAGAACUGCUUCAUCGUCCAGUUGUCUAAAAAGAAAAUUUUCAUUUAUGAACUU